UACGUAGGGUGCGAGCGUUAAUCGGAAUUACUGGGCGUAAAGCGUGCGUAGGCGGUUAUUUAAGUCAGGUGUGAAAGCCCUGGGCUUAACCUAGGAAUUGCGCUUGAGACUGGAUAGCUUGGAGUGCGGCAGAGGGAGGUGGAAUUCCACGUGUAGCAGUGAAAUGCGUAGAGAUGUGGAGGAACACCGAUGGCGAAGGCAGCCUCCUGGGCCAGCACUGACGCUCAUGCACGAAAGCGUGGGGAGCAAACAGG
rnacentral:rRNA from 1 species